UUUCUCUUAGCUUAAGGUUUAAAGCAUCAAUUUGAAGCGUUGGAGAUAAUAUAAUUAGAGAGAC
rnacentral:tRNA from 1 species